GAAAUGCGAUAAUUAAUGGGAAUUGCAGAAUUCAGUGAAUCAUCGAGUCUUUGAACGCACAUUGCGCCCCCUGGUAUUCCGGGGGGCAUGCCUGUCCGAGCGUCAUUGCUGCCCUCAAGCACGGCUUGUGUGUUGGGCUUCCGUCCCUGGCAACGGGGACGGGCCCAAAAGGCAGUGGCGGCACCAUGUCUGGUCCUCGAGCGUAUGGGGCUUUGUCACCCGCUCCCGUAGGUCCAGCUGGCAGCUAGCCUCGCAACCAAUCUUUUUAACCAGGUUGACCUCGGAUCAGGUAGGGAUACCCGCUGAACUUAAGC
rnacentral:misc_RNA from 1 species